AGGUCCUGCACAGAUGAGACCUGGAUGGGAAAAGAGCUAGUAAAGCUGCUGGGCAGCACAGCAAAAAACAGGGACAAGGGGCAUCUUUCUCUCCAGGAUGAGAUACGACUCCGGCCAUGUGCAAGGAAACUAUGAGUCUUCAGUGCAAUUAACCCUCCCUUUGCCUAGAAGAUUCCUGCUCUUCUCCCAGUUUUUCCGGAUGGGUGUGGAAGAGGCACGCAAUAGGGAAGUGGCUUGGCAAAGAUGAAGCUAGACCUACGUUCAGGGUUGUUGUGGGCACCCAUGCAAAUCUGCCUGAAGGCCAGGAGGGGGACUGCAAGGACAAAAGAAGACAUAAGCUGAAAAAGGAAAAGAGGAAUCGAGGAGAAAUUCCCUUGAUGAUAGUGGAAAGUCAUGGAUGCUACUGCAGGAGGUGUGACUCGGACAUCGUUCCAUGGCAAAAAAAAUAUGUAAAAUCAUAUUAAUCAUGUUUGUUAUAUGUAAAACACACUAGCAUUCAGUAGCGGGAGCGCUCUUUAUCAUGCUGAAGGUGUCUCUUAAGACUGUUUGCUGCAGCCACAUGGAAAAGAUCUAUCAGACAAAAAUACACCCAAAGCAUGUUUCCAGGAUGACAUGACUGCAUUGGAGAAGAAGGGGGAGCUCUAAGAAUGUCUGCUUCAGAGUGUAGUAUUCAUAACUAACAAAAAGUCCAGACCCAACGAUCUGAUCCCUCAAAAGGUUGUCAGUACAAUAGGUCAAUACAUGCCCUUUGGUUUAUAACAGGGAAUUCAUACAGAUUCAUUGCAAAGGUCUAAUGUAUUAUUUGUAACUUUUUUUUUCAUAUACAAUGCUUCCUCUGUGCCCAGCUCAAAAAAAAUCCGUGAGAGCAAGAGAGACAUGGGUGAUAUGUAGUCACAUAAUAAACGGACCUUGAACACUGCUGCUUGAGGGCA
rnacentral:lncRNA from 1 species